GAGUUUGAUCCUGGCUCAGGAUGAACGCUAGCGGCAGGCCUAACACAUGCAAGUCGAGGGGUAACAGGGAUUAGCUUGCUAAUUUGCUGACGACCGGCGCACGGGUGCGUAACGCGUAUACAAUCUGCCUUAUACUGGGGUAUAGCCUUUAGAAAUGAAGAUUAAUCCCCCAUAGUCUCUACUUGUGGCAUCACAUAUAGAGUAAAGGUUACGGUAUAAGAUGAGUAUGCGUUCUAUUAGCUAGUAGGUAAGGUAACGGCUUACCUAGGCAACGAUAGAUAGGGGCCCUGAGAGGGGGAUCCCCCACACUGGUACUGAGACACGGACCAGACUCCUACGGGAGGCAGCAGUGAGGAAUAUUGGACAAUGGAGGCAACUCUGAUCCAGCCAUGCCGCGUGCAGGAAGACUGCCCUAUGGGUUGUAAACUGCUUUUAUAUAGGAAGAAACCUACUUACGUGUAAGUAGCUGACGGUACUAUAAGAAUAAGGAUCGGCUAACUCCGUGCCAGCAGCCGCGGUAAUACGGAGGAUCCAAGCGUUAUCCGGAAUCAUUGGGUUUAAAGGGUCCGUAGGUGGAUAAUUAAGUCAGAGGUGAAAUCUUGCAGCUCAACUGUAAAAUUGCCUUUGAUACUGGUUAUCUUGAGUUAUUAUGAAGUAGUUAGAAUAUGUAGUGUAGCGGUGAAAUGCAUAGAUAUUACACAGAAUACCGAUUGCGAAGGCAGAUCACUAAUAAUCAACUGACACUGAUGGACGAAAGCGUGGGUAGCGAACAGGAUUAGAUACCCUGGUAGUCCACGCCGUAAACGAUGGUCACUAGCUGUUUGGACUUCGGUCUGAGUGGCUAAGCGAAAGUGAUAAGUGACCCACCUGGGGAGUACGUUCGCAAGAAUGAAACUCAAAGGAAUUGACGGGGGCCCGCACAAGCGGUGGAGCAUGUGGUUUAAUUCGAUGAUACGCGAGGAACCUUACCAGGGCUUAAAUGUUAGGUGACAGAUCUAGAAAUAGAUUUUUCUUCGGACACUUAACAAGGUGCUGCAUGGUUGUCGUCAGCUCGUGCCGUGAGGUGUCAGGUUAAGUCCUAUAACGAGCGCAACCCCUGUUGUUAGUUGCCAGCGAGUAAUGUCGGGAACUCUAGCAAGACUGCCAGUGCAAACUGUGAGGAAGGUGGGGAUGACGUCAAAUCAUCACGGCCCUUACGUCCUGGGCUACACACGUGCUACAAUGGUAGGUACAGAGAGCAGCCAAUGCGCGAGCAUGAGCAAAUCUAUAAAACCUAUCUCAGUUCGGAUCGGAGUCUGCAACUCGACUCCGUGAAGCUGGAAUCGCUAGUAAUCGGAUAUCAGCCAUGAUCCGGUGAAUACGUUCCCGGGCCUUGUACACAC
rnacentral:rRNA from 1 species